GGUUCGUCCAGGUCCAGGUCUAGGUCCGUGGGCCGGGACAGUUCAAGUGGUCGUUCAUACAGGUCCAUGGGCCGGGACAGUUCAAGUAGUCGUGUACCCAGGUCCCAAGCCGUGGAGAGCAGGUCCUUAGAUGUUUUUUCACAUGCAAGGCCCAUUUACAGUAAGGCUGUGCCAACCACAUUCCCCCUGUCAGAAGCGA